rnacentral:rRNA from 1 species
UACGUAGGGUGCAAGCGUUGUCCGGAAUUAUUGGGCGUAAAGAGCGUGUAGGCGGCCAGACAGGUCAGCUGUGAAAACUCGAGGCUCAACCUCGAGACGUCGGCGGAAACCAUCUGGCUAGAGUCCGGAAGAGGAGAGUGGAAUUCCUGGUGUAGCGAUGAAAUGCGCAGAUAUCAGGAAGAACACCCGUGGCGAAGGCGGCUCUCUGGGACGGUACUGACGCUGAGACGCGAAAGCGUGGGGAGCGAACAGG